ensembl:lncRNA
UAUGAAAAUCUCAAAUUAAACAGAAAAUUACGCAUUUUCACUUUGAGAAUCCCCCAAUUAAAGCAAAAUAAGGCAGUGCCUUCAGAAAUCCCCCAUUUAAGCGAAAAUCACAAGUUUUCUCUUCGAGAAUCCCCCAUUUUAACCCGAAAAUCACGCGUUUUCUCUUCGCAAAUCCCCCAUUUAAGCGAAAAUCACGCGUUUUCUCUUCGCCAAAUCCCCCAUUUAACCCCGAAAAUCACGCGUUUUCUCUUCGCAAAUUCCCCCAUUUAACCCCGAAAAUCACGCGUUUUCUCUUCGCAAAUCCCCCAUUUAACCCGAAAAUCACACGUUUUCUCUUCGCAAAUCCCCAUUUAACCGAAAAUCACGCGUUUUCUCUUCGCAAAUCCCCCAUUUAAGCGAAAAUCACGCCUUUUCUCUUCGCAAAUCCCCCAUUUAAGCGAAAAUCACGCGUUUUCUCUUGCAAAUCCCCCAUUUAACCCGAAAAUCAUGCCUUUUCUCUUCGCAAAUCCCCCAUUUAAGCGAAAAUCACGCGUUUUCUCUUCAA